CGGUCACGCCGCGUAGGGAUGAAGGCCUCUGGGCUGUAAACCUCUUUUCUCAAGGAAGAAGAUCUGACGGUACUUGAGGAAUAAGCCACGGCUAAUUCCGUGCCAGCAGCCGCGGUAAUACGGGAGUGGCAAGCGUUAUCCGGAAUUAUUGGGCGUAAAGCGUCCGCAGGCGGUCUUGAAAGUCUGUUGUUAAAGCGUGGAGCUUAACUCCAUUUGAGCAAUGGAAACUGCAAGACUAGAGUGUGGUAGGGGCAGAGGGAAUUCCCGGUGUAGCGGUGAAAUGCGUAGAUAUCGGGAAGAACACCAGUGGCGAAGGCGCUCUGCUGGGCCAUAACUGACGCUCAUGGACGAAAGCCAGGGGAGCGAAAGGGAUUAGAUACCCCUGUAGUCCUGGCCGUAAACGAUGAACACUAGGUGUCGGGGGAAUCGANCCCCUCGGUGUCGUAGCCAACGCGUUAAGUGUUCCGCCUGGGGAGUACGCACGCAAGUGUGAAACUCANAGGAAUUGACGGGGGCCCGCACAAGCGGUGGAGCAUGUGGUUUAAUUCGAUUGCAC
rnacentral:rRNA from 1 species